AAUGACGCCGCGACUCACCUACGGUUUUCGAACCGACGCUGUGUAGUAACGUCGCCCGUAUUCGCCCGCCCUUUUCGGCAGCGUCAUCACAUCACACAUGCGCCUUGACGGCGUUUGUUGCUGGCCGCGACUUAAAUCACGUCCCCUAUGACUACUUGGUCCAGGCAAAUGUACUCUUGCAACAGGUUUGAGAGGCUGUUUACCAAGCAAGGUGUCAUCGCAAGGAAAAGGCCAGCAAAGGAUUAUGGCACCAAAAAAAAGAAAAACGCCCAUUUGAAAAAGCACAUGACUGCACGAGAGGCACAAGCAGAGGGUUUUCUGAACACAGAGAACAUCAAAGGUGCCAGCACUGCGUCUCGGCAAUGUUGACAGACGCUUUGGCGUGCAUACCUGGGUCCCACCUCAAAAGCUGAUGUCAAUCAAGGACUUCACUUGCCAAGGAGGCACCACUGUUGACAACGGGACUAGCUAUGAGCUUCCCAUCUGGCCUUGUACAUGCCUGAUGAAUGAACGGCAGGAGUUCGUAAACCAUGUCAGCACGCAUACCAUGUUAAAAAAUUGCAGACUCAUCUCGGUGAUUAUGUUCAAUUCACUUCGUUAAGAACACUCGUACUGUAACCAUAUUCAGUGCCAACAUGCUCUGUUCCUGCUAUCAAUUUUGGAGACUUCUAUAAUAGUGUUGCUCCUGUAAGCAUUCAUAAGAUAGCAUCAAAAGAACAUCGUCAUUAUUGUUUCCUCUGUAUUCAUCGUACUCUCCGUCACGGUUGCUCAAUGAAAGUGUACAUGUGUGAGUCUGCUGCAUCACACGGCAGAGUAUUGGCGAAGACGCGAAGCAGAAGUUCACAACUGCCAGCACUAAUUUUGUGGGGAUGCCACUGUUCCGAGACAGCUCUCUGGGAAAGUGCUGGGGGCUAGCACUGUGGAACAGAUGCUUUGGGUGUGUCAGACUAAGUUUUCAUCAUGCCUACGCCUCUUUUUAUCACAACCUUGCAUCUACAAGUUGUAGUCAUAAUAUGUGAAGUAGUUUAUUCUUUAGAAAGCAUUGCAAAUCAAGAACCACUGCACUGUGAAACAGACGAGCUGAGACUUCAAUGAUCUCAGUACUUUCACAGAGUUGCCUGCUGUGUGCUACUUAUGAAAUAGAGUAUGGGUCUUAUGUGUCAAGACGAAAUUGAAGAUUCUAAUGCCAAGAAGCGGAGGACAGAGCUGGUGGCGCCCGGCUGCAUCGGAUAUCCAUGGUGUACAAGCUUUUAGCACCCCUCCGAGCAGGUGCUGUUUCGUUAGAUAUACAAACACGAGUUUCCCUGGAAAAGACAAUAAAUGUGAUCACAAAAAAAAGGAUUUAACAGACAAGUAAUUGCACACGCACAUAAGAACCAG